GAUGAACGCUGGCGGCGUGCCUAAUACAUGCAAGUCGAGCGAACAGACGAGGAGCUUGCUCCUCUGACGUUAGCGGCGGACGGGUGAGUAACACGUGGAUAACCUACCUAUAAGACUGGGAUAACUUCGGGACACCGGCGCUAAUACCGGAUAAUAUAUUGAACCGCAUGGUUCAAUAGUGAAAGACGGCUUUGCUGUCACUAAUAGAUGGAUCCGCGCCGCAUUGGCUAGUUGGUAAGGUAACGGCUUACCAAGGCAACGAUGCGUAGCCGACCUGAGAGGGGGAUCGGCCACACUGGAACUGGGACACGGUCCAGACUCCUACGGGAGGCAGCAGUAGGGAAUCUUCCGCAAUGGGCGAAAGCUUGACGGAGCAACGCCGCGUGAGUGAUGAAGGUCUUCGGAUCGUAAAACUCUGUUAUUAGGGAAGAACAAAUGUGUAAGUAACUAUGCACGUCUUGACGGUACCUAAUCAGAAAGCCACGGCUAACUACGUG
rnacentral:rRNA from 1 species